AAACUCCGCAAAACAGGCUCACAUGAAGCCUGUGGCGGAGUUCAGAUAGUUCUCUAACAGAACCUGGGCCAGCCAGGAAGGGGAAGGGGGUCCGCGGUAGGUUCUGACCCUGCAGAGGGCCUGGGGCAGCCACUGCUUAGGGUCUCAGAGACUCUGAGAAAACUGAUACUCAGCAGCUUUUCCUGGAAGAACUGGGCGUCUUCGCCAUCGCAACCAGGACUCUUAACAGCUGGGUGCUUACAGGGAAGAGAAAACAAGGAGGAGCCAUCCGUGCACUGGAAGACGUAUUUCCGCCGCUUGCUGCGGGUGGGCUGGCAGCACUGGGGCCCGCAGCCCCCGCGGCAUUGCAUUAUGGGCACCUUGGAGGCUGUGGCACAUGAUGUGUAACCUUUCUGGCGGCGGAUCACCUCUCGGACUAUCUCCCCCAGGCAUGGAUUCUCUGCAGAGGGCAGAAGAGGGGCUGGGAGGAAGCAGUGAUGAGACGCGACAGAAGAGUUUGGGGAUAUGGCACCUCCUUCCCUGAAGAAAAUGGCUCUCUGAAGAGCAGGCUGAGCUCUGUUGUAUCCACUGAUGGUAAAUAUGGAGGCUCCCUCCCCUCGUGAAGUCUCCCUGGUGAAUCCCCAGGAGAACUGGCCCCAACAAGAGGAUCCUGGCAGGGAGGUGGCACUGGUUACCCAGCAGGCAGGGACAGUUUCGUGACUGACUCGGAGUUAGAAACUUCAGCAGCCAAAGAGGUGAGGGAGAUG